CCUACGGGUGACAGCAGUCGAGAAUCAUUCACAAUGGGGGAAACCCUGAUGGUGCGACACCGCGUGGGGGAAUGAAGGUCUUCGGAUUGUAAACCCCUGUCAUGUGGGAGCAAAUUAAAAAGAUAGUACCACAAGAGGAAGAGACGGCUAACUCUGUGCCAGCAGCCGCGGUAAUACAGAGGUCUCAAGCGUUGUUCGGAAUCACUGGGCGUAAAGCGUGCGUAGGCUGUUUCGUAAGUCGUGUGUGAAAGGCGCGGGCUCAACCCGCGGACGGCACAUGAUACUGCGAGACUAGAGUAAGGGAGGGGGAACCGGAAUUCUCGGUGUAGCAGUGAAAUGCGUAGAUAUCGAGAGGAACACUCGUGGCGAAGGCGGGUUCCUGGACAUUAACUGACGCUGAGGCACGAAGGCCAGGGGAGCGAAAGGGAUUAGAUACCCUGGUAGUC
rnacentral:rRNA from 1 species